UUAAUUAAAGCCAAAUAGAGGCUUAUCACUGUUAAUGAUAGAACUGAGAAUUCCUCUAAUUAGA
rnacentral:tRNA from 1 species